GACGAACGCUGGCGGCGUGCUUAACACAUGCAAGUCGAACGGAAAGUCUCUUUUGGUGGUACUCGAGUGGCUCACGGGUGAGUAACACGGUAGUAACUUGCCCUCGACUUCCGGAUAACUUCAGGAAACUGGGGCUAAUACCGGAUAGGAAUCCUUCCUGCUUGGUGGGGGUUGGAAAGUUUCGGCGGUUAUGGAUGGACUGGUGGGUUAUCAGCUUGUUGGUGGGAUAGUGGCUUACCAAGGCUUUGACGGGUAGCCGGCCUGAGAGGGCGACCGGCCACCUUGGGACUGAGAUAAGGCCCAAGUACGGACGGGAGGCAGAAGUGGGGAAGAUUGAACGAUGGGCGGAGGCCUGGUGAAGAAACGCCGCGGUCGGGAUAGCUGCCUUCGGGUUGUAAAACGCAUUCAGCAGAGGCGAAGCUUGUAGUGACGGUACCUGCAGAGGAAGCACCGGCUAACUACGUG
rnacentral:rRNA from 1 species